rfam:Salmo salar isolate Sally breed double haploid chromosome ssa14, whole genome shotgun sequence.
CGAAAUUGCUCUUGCAAGUCACUCUGGAUAAGAGUGUCUGCUAAAUGACUAAAA